rnacentral:siRNA from 1 species
UGCUACAAGGUAUGAUGGAUUU